rnacentral:misc_RNA from 1 species
GGCCUGCCCUUACGUCUCAUGAUGGUUUUGGGACACCGCCAAUGGCGGGAAGAUAUGGAGGUCGAUUUGAGCAGCCUCCCCCUCAACCAGCUGGCCUGGCAGCAGCAGCAAGCUUUGGUGCCUCAGCAACUGCAAAGAUUAGUGUUGAUGCAUCCCUCGCAGGUGCCAUCAUUGGGAAGGGUGGAUUAAACACUAAGCAGAUUGUUCAUGUUACAGGAGCCAAGCUGUCAAUCCGUGACCAUGAGACCGAC